GAUGAACGCUGGCGGCGUGCCUAAUACAUGCAAGUCGAGCGAACGGACGAGAAGCUUGCUUCUCUGAUGUUAGCGGCGGACGGGUGAGUAACACGUGGAUAACCUACCUAUAAGACUGGGAUAACUUCGGGAAACCGGAGCUAAUACCGGAUAAUAUUUUGAACCGCAUGGUUCAAAAGUGAAAGACGGUCUUGCUGUCACUUAUAGAUGGAUCCGCGCUGCAUUAGCUAUUUGGUAAGGUAACGGCUUACCAAGGCAACGAUGCAUAGCCGACCUGAGAGGGUGAUCAGCCACACUGGAACUAAGACGCGGUCCAGACUCCUACGGGAAGCAGAAGUAGGGACUCUUACGCAAUGGGCGAAAGCCUGACGAAGCAACGCCGCGUGAGUGAUGAAGGUCUUAGGAUCGUAAAACUCUGUUAUUAGGGAAGAACAUAUGUGUAAGUAACUGUGCACAUCUUGACGGUACCUAAUCAGAAAGCCACGGCUAACUACGUG
rnacentral:rRNA from 1 species